GUCCACGCCCUAAACGAUGGGCACUAAGUGUGGGAGGUAUCGACCCCUCCCGUGCCGCACCUAACGGAGUAAGUGCCCCGCCUGGGGAGUACGGCCGCAAGGUUGAAACUCAAAGGAAUUGACGGGGGCCCGCACAAGCGGUGGAGCAUGUGGUUUAAUUCGACGCAACGCGAAGAACCUUACCCAGGCUUGACAUGCAGGUAGUAGGAACCUGAAAGGGCAACGACCCCGCAAGGGGAGCCUGCACAGGUGCUGCAUGGCUGUCGU
rnacentral:rRNA from 1 species